rnacentral:rRNA from 1 species
UACGGGGGGGGCAAGCGUUGUUCGGAAUUACUGGGCGUAAAGGGCUCGUAGGCGGCCAACUAAGUCAGACGUGAAAUCCCUCGGCUUAACCGGGGAACUGCGUCUGAUACUGGAUGGCUUGAGAUUGGGAGAGGGAUGCGGAAUUCCAGGUGUAGCGGUGAAAUGCGUAGAUAUCGGGAGGAACACCUGUGGCGAAAGCGGCUCACUGGACCACAACUGACGCUGAGGCGCGAAAGCUAGGGGAGCAAACAGG